rnacentral:rRNA from 1 species
GACGAACGCUGGCGGCGUGCUUAACACAUGCAAGUCGAACGGAAAGGCCCUGCUUUUGUGGGGUGCUCGAGUGGCGAACGGGUGAGUAACACGUGAGUAACCUGCCCUUGACUUUGGGAUAACUUCAGGAAACUGGGGCUAAUACCGGAUAGGAGCUCCUGCUGCAUGGUGGGGGUUGGAAAGUUUCGGCGGUUGGGGAUGGACUGGCGGCUUAUCAGCUUGUUGGUGGGGUAGUGGCUUACCGAGGCUUUGACGGGUAGCCGGCCUGAGAGGGUGACCGGCCAGAUUGGGACUGAGAUACGGCCCAGACUCCUACGGGAGGCAGCAGUGGGGAAUAUUGCAGAAUGGGCGGAAGCCGGAUGCAGCAACGCCGCGUGCGGGAUGACGGCCGUCGGGUUGUAAACCGCUUUCGCCUGUGACGAAGCGUGAGUGACGGUAAUGGGUAAAGAAGCACCGGCUAACUACGUG